UUUUAACAGAUGAAUUGGAAAAAUACGGUGUGAAAUGUAAGGAGAUUUGUAUAGCACUUAUUACUAAAUUGUAUACAAAAAAUAAAUAAUAAGCAAAUAUUUUAUUUCAAAACCACGCAGCUUAUAAACAAAAACUUAUAUUGAGAUUUUUUACAAAUUCUACGUAGUAUGCCUUAAAGUUGCAUAUUAAUAUGUAUUGCAAUUAUAGACGUUUCUUUAUAGUUUUGAAUAUGAGUAUGUCAAAUUCAAGCAUUUCACCUGUUUAGUAAUUUAUUAUUUCAAAAACUUGACGAGGAAUUUCUUUAUAAUUUAUAACCUCCUCCUUCCCAAAAAUGAAUCCUAGUUGCGUUACUGGUCACAGCAUAUUCGGGGUGUGAUUUGAUAUAUUUUUUUUAAAUUUUAAAUUGGUGGGUCUGGAGAAAUGUGCGUGGUUUGAAAUUAAUAUUUUUAAUAUUAUUAUUAUUACCUAAUGUAACUUUUUUCUUUAAAACCAUACUUACACAUAUGCCUAUUCUUAUUUUAGAUUUUUGCAAAAUAGUGCAAUUACCUAUUGGCCAAGAAGUAAUAUAUACAGCAAAAUUUGGUUAGUGACAAUUACGUAAAAUCACUAGUACAUGGUAUAAAUUAAUACUUAGUAUACUUUUAGUUUUAUUAGUGCCGGUGCAAGGUAUAAAUUUUGGGCCCCACGGAAGUGUAGCUAUCUCUCGAAAAGCAAAUUAUUAUCAUUUAACAAAUAUUAUAAUUUAGAAAAACUAAUAAUAAUAUUAUAUUUUACAGAUGGCAUAAUAUAAUAUUGAUAAUUUGUUGUGUUAUUCGUGUUUGUGAAUCGUAAUUCAAAGAUCAAACUUCAAAUAUUCAUAUGUUAGUCAAAGAUUAGGCCUAAGUAUCUUACCCUAAAUAUCCUUGUUAUUUUACAGCUACAAGGAUUGAGUAGUAAAUUAUUAGUGAUUUUAAUUUCAUCACACGGAAAUUGACAAGUUCCGUCAUGAAUAUAGGUGUAUUCAUAAGAGGACACCGAACGUGCAUAUGACAUCUCUGUCUAUCUAACAAGUUGGUAAUUUAACAGAAAUGUGUUUUCAUAUUUUCAAUAGUAUUCAGACCUCAGUAGUCAGAAUUUUUACUAAAUUACAUUAAAAUAAUUUUUUUUAUUCUUUACCUGUGGAUUUUAUAUGAUUUUUAAAUUAUAAAUGAAACAAGGAAUAUAUUGAUUUUACAAUGAUAUUUAUUUUCUAUUUUUUUUUUCAAUUAACAACUUUUCUACCACAAAUUUCGCUCCAAUUUUCAAGUGUAACACUUUUUCUAAAAAGAAAUUUUACUGGAGUGGUAGUACUUAAAGGAGGUUAUUUUUUGAUUUGCCAAGGAGUUUUCAUAAUAAAUGGGAAAAACAAACAAAUUUACGAAAUGUAUUAUUUUUAAAUCAUAAAUAUUACGGCCUUCUAAAACAUAUAUAACCGAACUCCACUCAGAAUAAUUUUUCAUUAGCAACGAUUAAUUAUUGCAUAUAAUUAAUAUACAUCAAAUUUUCCCUCUACCUUCCAAACUUUUCACCAACAAUAAUAACCUCUCUUAUCGUACGAAGUAUGUCCAUUGGUUUUUUUAACAUAUUUUUAAAAAGGCAUAUUUUAAAAUUUUAAAAACAUAUAUUGCAAAUUUAAAAAAACAACUGUUCUAUAGAUAUUUAAUACAUCUGUAUUUAUCUUGACAUCAAAAUCUAGUUUAUAUCAUUGAGGUCUAAGUACUUUCGUAAUAUUUUCCGUUAGAUAGACAGAUACUACAAAUACACGUUUGAAAUUAACAAUUUUAAACUUUUAAAUUAUAAAGUAGACUACUUGAGUAACCAUGUUAUACUGUAAAACUUCCAUACAACGGUCACCGAAGGGACCGGAAAUAAUGACCGCUAUUUAGAGGUGAUCGUUCUUUAGAGGUGACCGUUAGCGGAAGUUUUACUGUAAUUAUUAUCAGUAAUUACAUUGUUCGAGCAAAACACCUUUCGCCCCAAAACGACUUUCCUCUUUCCACCCAAGUAUAAUACAAAUAAAUUUCUUAUUUUCGUCUAAUAAUAAAUGCAUUUUUUUUUCACUCACAAUUUUACGUUCAACAUUUUGAGAACCACGGCUUAAAAUUAUUUAUGUUAAAUAUUUAAUAUUUAUUAUUACUACUUAAGUAUUUUUACUGUUUAUGAAAAAUAUAGUCUUAUAUAUCUCAGUAUCGCUUAAAGAGGUAAAUAACUCUACUUAUUACAACAUGACAAACUGUCAUAACAUUUUGUACGGCAAAAAAUGUCCACAUUUCUACAACCAUACAUUUUUGUGGUGCACUUUGUUUUGCAAUUGCAUCGUUUAUAUCAAUUGAUGAAUUUGAUUAAUUUUAAAUUUAAUAAUUUUAUUUUGUGUAACAAAGAAAAAAUGUUUACUUAACCGAUUAAAAAUUUAUAUUUUUUAGCCAAUAGAAAACAAAUAAUUAUUUUUUUUAUUAGAUACUAAAUUAUUUAAUUUAUUAUACUUAUUAUUAUACUUAUUACUAUUAUUAUUAAUACUUCACAUAUAUUUUCCGUUUAUAAAAAAUUGUUUGAUUAUUGUGCAAAUUAAUAGUAUACAAUAAAAUAUAUAACUGUAUUGAAUGACAAUAUCAUACUGAAUGUUAGAGAGGCAACAUAGCAUGACUGUUAUACAGAUAUAAUAAAAGUAGUUGGUUAAGGUAAAGUACUAGGGAGUUCGUUUACUAUUAUAGAAUUAUGUUAAUAAUAGUGUACUAUUAUUUUGAUUUUUCCGUUAUUCCUAGAACCAACAUUCACCAAUAUCGUUAUAAUAUAAAUGUCGACAUUUACUAUUGAAUGUUUACAUAUGAUGCGAAUCUAAUCAAUAUACCAACAUUCACCAAUGACUUUGGUGUACGACGACAUUAACCGGUGAUUGUCAACAUUCACCAACUGUGGACAUUCGCAGUAACAUAUAUACACAGAAAUUCACCAAUCACGUAAUUAGAGAAAAUACAUUUCACCUGCCUCUCCUGAUUUGUAAAUUUCAUGAAUUUACAUGCUUUUAUUUUAGAUGUUAUAUCAAUAAAAUCCCGGAAGAGUGGGGCUAAAUAAAUAUUUCUUCAAAUGGGGUAUGGCUGAUAAAAUGAUCAUCACUAGGGCUCGGAGCUUGAUUAUCUAAAAAUAUUUAAAAACUAUAUAAAAUUACAUAAAAAUGUUAAAAAAUCAAUUUAAAAAAAAAAAGAGUUGACAUAGUUCGUACGAUGGGUGGGCUACUAUUGUAGAUGAGAAGUUGAGGAAUUUAAGGAAGGAAUUUGAGGAAGGGGAAUUUAUUAUAUAUCUGUGCGCAAUAUUUAACCUUUGCUAAUAAAAAACGAUUCUGAGCGGUGUUCGAUUAUACAUGUUUAAAAGGCCGUAAUAUUUACGAUUUUCGACAAAAUUUAAUAUUGAAAUCCUUUUCAAAAAAAAAUACAUUUACUUAACUUUUACUUGUUGACCACUAAGUAAAACUUAUAAUAAACCUUCUGUUAAAUUGUCAAGUAUUUCUCCAUAUCUCAUUCAUCCACAGAAUAUCUACUAAAUAAAUAUUACGUAAAAAUCUCGCAAAAUUAAAAUGUCUCAUGACUUAAACCACGUCUAUAAAAGGCAAAUAUAAGGUUUCUGUCAAAAUUUCAAAUCUCUACGAAUAUUUUUCACUGAAUUUAAACAAAAACACAAAAUUUAAAAUUAUAAAACUUUAUUUUCGUGAAUUUUCCAGUUUUUCUUGCAUUUUUCCCGGUUUUUCCCAAAAUUACCUUCUAUAAUCUUCUGUUAUAAUAAAUACAAUCUAGAUUACGAUUUACUUUGGUGGAGCAGGGUUGUUUUAAAAAUUCCGCUACUGAAAUAAACUGUAGUAAAAGUUUUUGAGCCAUAAUGUCUAUAAUAUAAUAUACAUAUUUGAUAAUAAUUAUUUUUAGCUUAGGUACAAUGACUUAAGGGAUAAAAGAAUACUGAAUACAAUAAAUAUUUUGUGUUUUAUUUACUGAAUUUUCUAAAGUACAUAACUAUAAUAUAAAUAUACUACAUAAGACAUACCUCGGAAAGUAUACAAAUUCAUUCAAUUAUCAAAAAUUACUGUAUGGCAUACAAUUCCCUAAAAAUGGUACCAUCAGCUUCUACGUUCCAUGAAACAAAUUUAAAUAAAAAUACGCAAUAUAUUAGAACUGGUGAAAAAAAAAUACAAGUACAACAAAUUCUGGGUUCUAAAUAUGACUAAUGCCCCAUGUAUAUAAGCAAAAAAAUAUAUUAACUGCAGGAUCUCACCACAGAACAGUGCUAUAUCCCAUGUAAUGUCCCUUACGCAUAAGCAAUCCAUAGUGAACCAGUCAAUUUCGCCAUUGAUUAAGUUUUCAUCAAUUUUUCAUCAACUUUUCAUCAAGUUUUACCGAUUGGUAAAGUCAUUCAUAGUAUUAUAGUAUAUAUUUUAAUAUAACAUGAAAUGUCGUUUUAUUCAACCCAUAAUUAUACUUCAGAGAAUAAAGUAUAAUUAAAAAGUACAUGGUUCUCAGAAUGUUAAACUAUGGGCGAAAACAAUCUUAUUAUAAUUGGAUGAAAAGAGGAAAACUUAAGUCGGUUUCACACAAAGGAGUUAAGCUCAUAUCAGUAACAUUCCUAAUCAUUAAAAUUGUUUUUAAUACCAAUUCUAUAGGAAAGACAAACAAUUCAUUUAAAAAUGAUGGUGAGUAUACUUAAAAUAAAUUCUAUAAUAUGAAAAAAUAUCAUAAGCACAACUUUAAAAAAUUUCAAAGAAGAUUAGGUUUAUUAUUUAAAAAUAUCUAAUAACUAGAGUUCUAUUACGUAAGCUUAUUUUUUCAGCUUGAUAUUAAAUCUAGCAAAGCUAUUGAAAUUUAUAUUAUGUGAGUUCAAAUAUGAAAUUUGAAAAUGGUUUGUUUGAUUAAUUCUUUAAAAAAAAUGCUAUAGUUUUUUACUUUUUUGAAUACGCAAGCCACUGAUGAGAACCCAGAUAUUUUCCUUAUUUUUAAAUAAUUUUACAUUUUUAUUCCAAUAUAUGUAAUUAUAAGUAUAUUUUUAAAAAGAAUCAAGAGUUCAAAUAUAAAAUUUGAAUGUUUUAUUAAGUACAUAUUUUUUUCACCCGUUAAUUAGAGUAGUUAGACCGAAACAGCUAGUAAAUGUAGGUAUUGCUUCCUAAGUAAAUUCAAAGUAAUGAUUUAUGAUACUAUAUAUAAUUUCUAUUGUUCAGAGUAAAAAUAACUCAUUAUUAAACUUACUUGUCUUCAAAUUAGUAAAAUAAUGUACUUUUUCAACUUAAUGGAAAUGUACUUAAACUACAAUGCCACCAAUAAGAAUAAUAUUAUAAUAUUUAUUAAAACAAUAAAAAAAAAAAAAAUUUUAAUUUUAGGAAACUAUUUGGCUAGAUAUUAUGAUCACAUUUUUAACGGUGGAACAAGUACGUACACUACAUUGGAUCAAUAAAAAAAAAAUACUGCUCAAACAUUAACUGUAUUUUUAUAAAAAAAAAAACACUUACAAUUCAAAUCAAAAAAUUCAAAAAGUUUGAAUCAAAAGUCAAUAAAAUUAUAUUAUCACGUGGUGACAUGAGUCCAAAGUUUAAAAUUAUAUAAAAUAUUAUAAAUAAGUAUUUGUCAAUUAUUUCUCAAACUAUUAAUUUCAUUGAAAAAAAUGAUUUUUACAAAAUACUCUACAUAAUUAAUUCUAAAAAUAAUUUCUAUAACCAUAUAACUUUUAAACUUAACACGAUAGACAAAAUAUUUAUAGAGCUACAGAAUAUUUUACAGACAUAAUUUUACCAAUAAAAUUAAUAGUACUAUUAUACACUAUCGUGUAUUCGUAUAAGAAACUAUUGAGAAAUACUUAUAAUCAUGGGUGUAUCCAGGGAGGGCAGGGAAACAAUUGCCACUCUCUAUUCAUAGCUAUCAAAUAUAUUCAAUUUGAACGAAAUUUUAAACUGUGGAAGGAAUGUUCUACAAGCUUAAAAAUAAUUUGUUUUUCUCGUGUUUAUCAUGGGAAUAAACCAAACAGUCUAGAAAACAUUCAGAUAAUAAGACGUAAAAACUCUGCUACACAUAAAAGGAAAAUUAUAAGCAAUAUUAUCAGUAGUGCAACUGCAACCAAUGUUAAAUCCAGGUAUAUGUCAGGGAGGGCUAUAGCCCCCCUAGAAUUUUGUUUGUCCCCUUGUUAAAUAUAGGUAAAUUAAUAAUUAAUUAAAUAAUUAAUUUCAUACUAUAAUUUUAGUUAUUUCCCCCGUAGAAAAAUUUUCGGGAUUCCACACUGACUACAACACACAUAAAGUUUAAAUCUAUCUAUUCGUUUAUGACGAAUAAUGGAUAUAAAACAGCUUUUAACUCAUAAGUAUAUAAAUUAUUACUUAUUUUAUUUAAGUAUAUUAAUAAAUUGAAUGCCAUGGUCGACGCAUGGAUAUUGGUCCCAUAACCACGUUAACGCGUAGUCCAUUCUCAUAUCAAAGCAAUGCUUUCAUUUUUAUGCGUGAUUAUUUAGUGAAACUGCUUCUUUCACAGUAUACUGUGUGUGGUUUUAUCUUUUUUUUAAGUGAAACUAUAAAUUUUUUUCCCAUAGAACGGUUAUCGUCGACAACAAUCCAAACGGAUUCAAAAUAUAUAAAUAAAAAAUAACACUAAACAUAUUUUGAUUAUUAAUUGUCUUCCUCCCCCCCCCCCACCGAUAAAAUGUCUAACUAUAACAUUACUUAUAAUGUUUUGUAAAAAUUUAAACGUUGAACUCUUGUCGCCACGUGUUAAUUUAAAUUGACUGACUUCAAAGUUUGUAGAGUUUAUUUUCAGACAUCGAAGAAUAAAAAUUUAACCAGCUAACGGGAUAAUCAUAAUAUUUUAAAAAUAAGUGGCAAUCCAAAGUAAAUGUCUUAGUUUAUUUUAAAUUUUAGCUGUUCCCGAAAUUUGGUGCGGAAUUCAAGGUAAUUAAAUAAGUAAUUUUGAUUAUUACGUCAAAUUUGAAUCA